rnacentral:lncRNA from 1 species
AUGGGACGAGGUUUCGUGAGUGGAUGGGAACCAGAAAGAAAUGGGACUUUAACUUCCUGGCCACAAGAGAGACUGCUAUGGUGUGGGGGCAGGCAGUGGGGAAGCGCUAGGAAGGAAGAAUUACUUUCAGGGACACGGAAGAAUUUUCGGGAAGAAGACAUUUGUUGGCGGGCGUUCUGGAAGACUACCUGGCCCCCGGAACCUCGCGUCUUCCGUACCUGGUCCUCCCCGGCGGGGGCACGCUCCCCACCGCACCCCCCCUUGCGCCUGCGCGCGCCCGUGCCCUUGCUCUUAAUCCCGCCUCUUCCGGCCAUCUCUACGGGUGGGGUGCUGGGGGUGUGGUGGCCCUGGCAAGAUGGCGGCUCCCGAGAAGAUGAUGUUUCCGGAGAAACCAAGCCACAAAAAGUACAGGGCUGCCCUGAAAAAGGCGAAACGAAAGAAACGACGACAGGAACUGGCUCGAUUGAGAGACUCAGGACUCUUACAGAAGGAGGAAGAGGAUGCUCUUAUUGAAGAACAACGUCUAGAAGAAGAGAAGCUGUUGGAGAUAGAGAGCUUUCAUCUUGAUACCUGACCAUGGUGUAUGGACUGUAAAAGGCAUCCUCCAUCCCAAGAUGAUGAAAAUCUUCUAUUUUUUCUCUUACUAUUUUUCAGGGGGUAGGGUUUUUUUUUUUCCAGUAGUGCACAAUAAGGUGAAUGUGCUUAAUGCUACUCAACUGUACACUUAAAAAUGGUUAAAAUCCGAAAUUUUAUGGUAUGUAAAUUUCGCCACAAUAAAAAAAUAUAUUUGAACA